rnacentral:rRNA from 1 species
AGUUCAAGAGUACGUGAAACUGCUUAGAGGUUAAACCCGAUGAACCUGAAUAUCCAUUAUGGAAAAUUCAUCAUUAAUGAUAUGAUAUAUUUUAUAUCAUAGAAAUAGUGUGCAAUUUUUCCAUAUAAGGACAUUGUAAUUUGUUAAUGUAUAAAUAUUUAUCAAAAGAUCUUUUACUUAAGUUUAUUUAAAUUAGUUAUCUUCGGAUUGCUAACAUAAAAUAAAUGUAAUUGAUUUGAUAAAUCAUUGACAAAUUAAUUAUAUAUUGUGCUAAAAUUUUACGGAAUUUUACAAUGAUGAAUAAAUCCGUUGAUUUAUUCGUUUGAGUUGUAAGCACUUUUAUGAUUAACAAUGCGAUAGAUUCAGGAUACCUUCGGGACCCGUCUUGAAACACGGACCAAGGAGUCUAACAUAUGUGCAAGUCAUUGGGUAUUUUGAAUAAAACCCAAUGGCAUAAUUAACUUAACUAUUAAAAUGGGAUUAAUUUAUAUUUUAUUAUGAAAUAUUAAUUCAAUCCCGGGGCGUUCUAUACAGUUAUGCAUAAUGAUAUUUAUAUUAUUUAUGCCUCUAACUAGAGCGUACCUUGAGCAUAUAUGCUGUGACCCGAAAGAUGG